rnacentral:pre_miRNA from 1 species
UCUUGUGGAUGAACAAAGAAAGUGGUUUCUUGAGAUGGUAUCUACUCCUUGUGAAAAUGCUGUGAA